GACAGAGGGUGCGAACGUUGUUCGGAAUUACUGGGCGUAAAGCGCAUGUAGGCGGCAGCGCAAGUCGGGCGUGAAAUCCCACGGCUCAACCCGUGGAAGUGCACUCGAAACUGCGCAGCUAGAGUCCUGGAGAGGAAGGUGGAAUGCUUGGUGUAGAGGUGAAAUUCGUAGAUAUCAAGCGGAACACCGGUGGCGAAGGCGGCCUCUGGACAGUGACUGACGCUGAGAUGCGAAAGCGUGGGGAGCAACAGG
rnacentral:rRNA from 1 species